rnacentral:rRNA from 1 species
AGCGAACGCUGGCGGCGUGCCUAACACAUGCAAGUCGAGCGAAGGCAUGAGUGUAGCAAUACACUUAUGUACUUAGCGGCGGACGGGUGAGUAACACGUGGAUAAUCUGCCCUGGGGACCGGGACAACUCUUGGAAACGGGAGCUAAUACCGGAUGUGACCACGAUGCUUGAGGGCAUUGGGGUAAAAGGGGUGGCCUGCAAGGGCUAUUGCCUUGGGAUGAGUUCACGACCCAUCAGGUAGUUGGGGGU